rnacentral:lncRNA from 1 species
CUAACUUAUCUCCUAAACAAAAGCACCUAGGACUGUAACUCCUGGAGCAACUAACAAACCAACUAACUUAUCUCCUAAACAAAAGCACCUAGGACUCUUAACUCGUGCAGCAAUUAGCCACAUGCAUGUGCUGCAUCCUGAUCCUGGACGUCCUCCUUGUGCUUCCUACGGCAUUCAUACAUUCUGCCAUACAUGACAGGAAAUUUGACCACAGUUUAGUUACUUUUUACUGUUUGUGCAACAAUUAAAUUUGACCAAAACUGCAUGAAGUAUCUUGUUAGUGAUUCACGGCUGCUUCCACUAGUGGCCACUUGACCCUGAUUGAAGUGAAGGGAACUCAUUUGUCAUAUUCUUGAAUUGCAUCUAAGGUGUGCUAUGUUCUUCAAAUUUUGGAAGAUCUUCAUCAGUGUAAUUAAUGUAAUUCAUUUCAAAUACUUUACUCCCCGAAAGUGAGCAUGUGCAGUCUGUUUCUCUCCCAGGAUAUGAUCCUCUAAAUUGCAGUAGGCCAGGAGCUCAAAUGGUUCCAUGUGGAACAAAAAUCUUAUCUCAUGAAUCAAAACUGAAACAAUUACUGCUUGACUCGAGCUUUAGAAACAUCAAUCUUUGAG